CGCCCUGUAGCUCAAUGGUGGAGCAAGUGUCUUACAAACACGAGGCUGUAGGUUCAAGUCCUACCGGGGUGACCA
rnacentral:tRNA from 1 species